GGCGGGGAAAAGUUACAACAAGCCAAUAGAGUUCAACCAAGAGGACAAUAUGUCAUAUGAAUCCACUCAAGCCUCCCACGGUUCAGAAGAGGCAUUUCGCCAUGUUAAAAGACUGGAGGAAGAUGUUAUUCAUCUCCCAAAAGAGGAUGAAAAUGAUAUGUCUAACAAACAUGAGGAGCAAUUGGAAGAUGAAUUGCACCCCUAUGGGUAUGGUAACGAUGAUUGUGAAAGAUUGGGAGGAUUCAUUAAGGAAAAUGACAUGACAGAAAGAAUCGAUAAGUUCAACCAAGAGGAGAUUAUCUCAUAUGAAUCUGCUCAAGCUUCUCACUGGUCAGAAGAGGUAUUUCACCAUGUUGAAAGAGUGGAGGAAGGUGACAUAAAUUUCACAAAAGUGGAUGAUGAAAAUGAUAUGUCUAACAAACGUGAGGAACAACAUGCACUGAACCCCAAUGGGGAUGUAAAGGAUGAAUGGGAUCGAGUGGCAGGGUACAAUGAAGAGAAUGGAAUUGGAGAAAGAAUGGAUGAUUGGAAAGAAGCAAAGUAUCAUGUGAAAGAGGAAGAGAUGUGGAAUAACAGAGAAGCCCAACCCAAUCGGUCUGAUCAAGAGUAUAUACCUUCAAAUGAAGAGAAACAAAAUCUAUUCGAGCAAGAGCAAAUACCUUCAGGCAGAGAGAAACUGAAUCAGUCUGAGCAAAGGUAUAUCAAUUCAAACGGAGAGAAACUGAAUCAAUCUGAGCAAGAACAUAUACCUUCAGGCGGAGAGAAACUGAAUCAAUCCGAGCCAGAGUACAUAACUUCAGGCGGAGAGAAACAGAACGUAAAUGCACAAGAACACAUAACAACAGACGGAGAGAAAAUGAAUCAAUCCGAGUCAGAGUAUAUACCUUCAGGUGGAGAGAAACUGAAUCAAUCCGAGCCAGAGUACAUAACUUCAGGCGGAGAUAAACUGAAUAUAUCCGACAAUGACAAAGAGGAUCAUGAUGAGGCAAACUACUGUCAAAAUAAUUCUGUUUCAUGGAGGGCUGAGCUAGAAGGCGACAGCUAUGCUCAGGACAACACACUAGCCGACACACACCCCUUGAUCCGUUACAAGAGUGACGAGACGGAUGUCAACACUCUGGCUUCACACAUGGGCGAGAGCGACUCCAGUGAUGGUGAAGAGGACAGGGAGGUUUGCCAGACAGGAACAGACACCUGGGGCGAAGGCAAGUCCAAACAGUUUGACACCAUGGAGGAUCUGUAUGAAGAGUCAGAAGGAGAUGUCAUAGAUCAGGAACGUCACAUGGGCUCCACUCACCAAGGCGACGUGGAUGCUAGCCAAACAAAGGAGCAUGCUACACAGGAGAACGAUGAGGAGAAUGCUGUAGAUCAGUUGAUUCAGGAGGCAGAAGAGGAGCAAUCCUAUGAGGAACUUACAGAACCUGGAGAGUACUCCAUGGUGUGCUCUGAUGAGGACUAUAAUGAAGAAAGAAUUGAUAGAUUGGUGGAGCAAGAGCUAGAGAAUUUAUCUAUAUCCAGUUACAGUGAACACUUUACUGGGCAGAUGAUUGAGAGCGAGUCAGUACUGAGUCUUCAAAUUGAGUCUCACACUGAACUUUCCCAGACACAAGACAUAUUAUACAGUGAGGAGGUAGAGCAGAUACACUCAGAGAGACUGAAUCAAACUGAGCAAAAGUAUAUACACUCAGAGAGACUGAAUCAACCUGAGCAAGAGUAUAUACACUCAGAGAGACUGAAUCAAUCUGAACAAGAGUAUAUACCUUCAGGAGGAGAGAAACUGAAUCUAAAUGCACAAGAACACAUACCCACAGAUGGAGAGAAUCUGAAUCAAUCUGAACAAGAGUAUAUACCCUCAGGCAGAGAGAAACUGAAUCUAUAUGUGCAAGAAAACAUACCCUCAGAUGGAGAGAAAAUGAAUCAAUCUGAACAAGAGAAGAUACCUUCAGGCGGAGAGAAACUGAAUCAAUAUGAGCAAGAGCAUAUACCUUCAGGCGGAGAGAAACAGAACGUAAAUGCACAAGAAAACAUACCAACAGACGGAGAGAAACUGAAUCAAUCCGAGCCAGAGUACAUAACUUCAGGCGGAGAGAAACGGAAUCAAUCCGAGCAAGAGAAUAUACCUUUAGGUGGAGAGAAACGGAAUCAAUCUGAACAAGAGAAGAUACCUUCAGGAGGAGAGAAACUGAAUCAAUCUGAGCCAGAGUAUAUAAUUUCAGGCGGAGAGAAACUGAAUCAAUCUGAACAAGAGGAUAUAACUUCAGGCGGCGAGACACUGGAUAUAUGUGAGCAAGAACAUAUACCCUCAGACAGAGAGAAAAUGAAUCAAUCCGAGCAAGAAAAUAUACCUUUAGGUGGAGAAAAACUGAAUCAAUUCGAGCAAGAAAAUAUACCUUUAGGUGGACAGAAACUGAAUCAAUUCGAGCCAGAGUAUAUAAUUUCAGGCGGAGAGAAACUGAAUCAAUCUGAACAAGAGAAUAUACCUUUAGGUGGACAGAAACUGAAUCAAUUCGAGCCAGAGUACAUAACUUCAGGCGGAGAGAAACUGAAUCUAUAUGUGCAAGAACACAUACCCUCAGACAGAGAGGAACUGAAUCAAUCUGAACAAGAGAAUAUACCUUUAGGCGGAGAGACACUGGAUAUAUGUGAGCAAGAACAUAUACCCUCAGACAGAGAGAAAAUGAAUCAAUCCGAGCAAGAAAAUAUACCUUUAGGUGGAGAAAAACUGAAUCAAUC
ensembl:lncRNA